GAUGAACGCUGGCGGCGUGCUUAACACAUGCAAGUCGAACGAAGCACUUUAUUUGAUUUCCUUCGGGACUGAUUAUUUUGUGACUGAGUGGCGGACGGGUGAGUAACGCGUGGGUAACCUACCUUGUACAGGGGGAUAACAGUUGGAAACGGCUGCUAAUACCGCAUAAGCGCACGGCAUCGCAUGAUGCAGUGUGAAAAACUCCGGUGGUAUAAGAUGGACCCGCGUUGGAUUAGCUAGUUGGUGAGGUAACGGCCCACCAAGGCGACGAUCCAUAGCCGACCUGAGAGGGUGACCGGCCACAUUGGGACUGAGACACGGCCCAAACUCCUACGGGAGGCAGCAGUGGGGAAUAUUGCACAAUGGGCGAAAGCCUGAUGCAGCGACGCCGCGUGAGCGAAGAAGUAUUUCGGUAUGUAAAGCUCUAUCAGCAGGGAAGAUAAUGACGGUACCUGACUAAGAAGCACCGGCUAAAUACGUG
rnacentral:rRNA from 1 species